rnacentral:rRNA from 21 species
UAAAUGACUCUCGGCAACGGAUAUCUCGGCUCUUGCAUCGAUGAAGAACGUAGCGAAAUGCGAUACUUGGUGUGAAUUGCAGAAUCCCGCGAACCAUCAAUUCUUUGAACGCAAGUUGCGCCCGAAGCCAUUCGGCCGAGGGCACGCCUGCCUGGGUGUCGUGA